rnacentral:misc_RNA from 1 species
CUCUUCUCUGUCGUCCCGCCACUCACAGCUCUCCCCGCACCGUGUUUACACCUCUUUCGCUCCAACAAACCGCCCCUUUAAGGAUGUCCUCUGAUUCCGCCGUUGCUGCCCUUUCCGCUGCCAUGACCUCGCCGCAGAAGUCUCCUCGCUCGUCGCCGAAGAAGACGGCUGCGAAGAAGGCCGCGGCGAAGAAGGCCGGAGCGAAGAAGGCCGGGGCGAAGAAGGCCGGAGCAAAGAAGGCGGUGAGGAAGGUGGCUACGCCGAAGAAGCCGGCGAAGAAGGCUGCGAAGAAGGCCGCGAAAAAGCCGGCGAAGAAGGUCGCGAAGAAGCCGGCGAAGAAGGCUGCGAAGAAGCCGGCGAAGAAGGCCGCGAAGAAGGCCGCGAAGAAGGCCGCGGCGAAGAAGUAAAGCGCGCCAUCAUGCUUGCCCGUGGCUGACUGUACGCUCUUCUGAGGCACACGUGCCCGAAGGCGCAUCAUAGAUCCAUCUCUUUGUUUUUCUUUUUGAGUUUUUUUUUUCCGGGCUCUCUCGUUUUUUUUGGUUACGCUCUUAGGUUCCCCUCCUCCUUGGUGGUGCGUGUGUCUCAUCCUCUUCCGUUGAUGGGCUUGCUGCAUCGCCAGCAGCACACG